GGGGGCGUAAUUGGUUUCGACAGUAAUCUAGCAGUAUUGGUAGCGAGUAGUGGAUUCUCGUAUGACCCACUUAAAAAAACGAGAAACUAAAUAUAAACGCUAGAAAUAACGAAGUAGCAUUAGCUGCCUAGGUGCGGCUACGUCUUUUACAAGAGGCCUACGGCUUAUAAAAGGCGCCAAAUUAGUAGGAAACAAAGCUAUUCUUUGCUUCAAGAAUAGUGGGUAAUGAGAAGCUACUAACAUAAUUCGUUUGUUUGUUAAUGAAUUAUGCUAGGAAUACGAAUAACAAACUGCACUCGGAGAAACUGGUAUGAAAGGAUUAUUGGACAGGAGUUCGACUCUCCUCGCCUCCACCA
rnacentral:tmRNA from 1 species